CUCCUCACUUACUGUUACGGUAUAAAUUGGACCUUUUUAAGUCCAAAAGUUCCCAAUUUUAGUCCUUUUGGGACUGCUUCUACUGCUGCAAUAAUCAAAUUGGAUUCUUAAAUCCAAAAUUCAAUUUUCGGCCAUUUGGAAUUGUUGUUACUCCGCUACUUAGCUGCUGCCACUGAUUUGGGUUUUAACCCAUUAAUAUUAGCUUCCCCUUUAUAACUUUGGCGGAGGUCGACUCAAAGAAAGGAAGAUGCAAGAGAGGGGAGUCCAAUUGGACUCAUUCGGAGGGAGUUCCUGCAAAGUAGAGAAAAGGAAGAAGAAUUAGCACAUGUAGCGAGAAAAUGACACUUCAGUUUUAAACAUUCAAACACAAGGAUGAAAUUAACCAAAUAAAACUAUCGUGAACAAAGGGGGAAAAGAAACAGAUCCGAAGCUAUUGCUAAGUUCAUAAAUCCACAAAAUGAUUAAUUAGUCACUGGACCUUUUGAUCUAUACAACCAGCAAAAGGCAUACUUACAAUGGCCAAAAUUGUACUAAACAUGCAAACGUAAUCAGCCAUCAGUUAAAUAAAAGAAAAGAUAGUAGCGUUCCGAUUUUAGCUUAGACUUCAUAUAUCAUUGACUAGUGACUUCUUUCACCAAAAACAAGCUCAACGUACAUAUCUAUAACAAAACUACAAAAGCAGACCCCAAAAGCAGAGCCUUCAGGCAACAACUUCUUUUGAAAUCGAAAAACAAAACACCACUUUAUAUAAUUAAGACGAUAAAAAAAAGAAUUCCAGAUUUGAACCAAUGAAAAUCGAACAUAGUCUAACAGAAGGAGUACAACUAUAUUCAGAAAAAUGAGAACUGGACAGAUUUUAAAACAAAGAAAACUAAUUAAAUAUCUCAAACUCAAACCAAUCUUUAAAGCAGGGGAUUUAAAAAAGAUUGCUAAAGCAAAAGACUACUACAAGAAGCUUUACCAGGAGACAAGCAGAGAACAUUCAAUACUAAAUAACACGUCUCAAAUAAUCAGUUUAAGGCACAAAAUAGAAAGAAAUUGCUAAAUGAGCUCACAUUUAAAAAUCAAAACGACACCAACAUCUAUUUUGAGAAACAAAGAAACCUUGAAAUAAUCCGCAUGAUACAGAGGAAUUAAAAGGAGACUUAACCAUCCAAACUAAAAAAUAAAUAAAAAAUGUCUAGCAUAAGACAAACAAGAAGCUUCUCAUCCAUUUCCGAUACAACUAAGAAAAACUAAAACUAUUAAGAGCGAAUUUGCGGGUAUUUAAGAAACUAUUAAGACAAGAAAUAAAAUACUAAGACCUUAGUUUUAAAUCUAAUUAACCAAUUUACAUAUUCAAGUUUUCAAAUCAGUGAACUGUUAGCCAUAACACAUAACAAAAAUUAGCAUCUACAAUAGAAAUUAACAUAUAGAGUAGAAACUAUACCAAGCAAGAAUAAAUAGUCUAGAACAGAAAACUUAACAACAUAAAAAUAAAGAAACUUAUGAGACUAAACCCACAUAAAACAACAAAGAAAUCAUACUAUCCAAAUGCUCGAACCAACUUAAGGAGAGAAAAGAAUUUACCUUUUGCCGAGCAGGAACCAAGACGACGAGCUCGAGAAUGACACCACCUUCAACUCUGUUGGUAAAUUUUAGUAGUAUGAGUUUUAGAAAGCAGAGAAGUCAAGAAGAAUAUUGGUAGAAGAACAUUUUUAUUGAUGUCUUCAGAUUUCAUUUAUAAGACUGGAAUGAAAAACAGAAAGCAGUAAACCCACUACUAGCAUAUUCCUAACUCACUAACUUACUCCUAAAUGAUAGGAAUAAAUGGCUAACAACUAAUUGACUAAGUCUUAUCUAAUAUAAUGCAGUAAAAGUAAAAGUGCAGUUGAAAAAGC
rnacentral:lncRNA from 1 species